GAAUAAGGCUCAGAUAACACACAGGAUAACUCCACUUUUGUGUAAUAAAGAGCUCCAUUUGGAUACAUAAAUACAAGGCACAGAUGCUCCUAAUCUACAUUUGCAUAUGCAAGUAGAACAUGUGUGCACCACGUGAUGGGUCAAGGAGAGGUCAGGGUAGUAAGCAAUGAGGAGUUUACAAUUACUGCUGGAGCGGUCUGAAGGACGGCGCAAGGGAGCUGUUGGAACAUCUUUGAGGCCAUCUGUUGGCACUGUUGGACAAUGCCAAGUGAGCGACAACAUCUACAUCUACACAUCCCUCGCUCGGACAUCAUUCAGGAGAUCACCAUCCAGGGGCCGUCUUGGGUCCUCCGAGACAUCCACAUUACCAUUUAAAUAUACCAGGAGACGGGGCUGGCCUGUGCCUACCUAAUGAGUUACAUGCUUGAUGACUUUCUACAUCAGCACCAAGUCAACCACAUGGACUGGCCGGCCUGUUGCCAAUAUCUGAAUCCCAUUGAGCAUCUGUGGGAUGUCCUGGGCCAGCGACUUACAGCCACUCAUCCCCACUCCUAGCAGUUGACCUCAGUCAGUUGUACCAGCUUCAGCAAGAAAGGCAGACAACUCCUCAAAGGACUCUAAGAACAUUGGUUUAAUCCAUUAGACAACGGUACCUUGCAUGUAUUGAAGCCAAUGGUGGACACACACGAUGUUGACUUUCUUUUUCUCUGCUAUCACUUUCUGGCAUGGCGUAAACACAGCCAACCAAUCCCUUUCUGAAUUUUGAAAGCAUUUGUUAUGUCAGUUCAAGCUCGAAUUUUUGUUGUUAAAAUAAUUUAUUUCAAUGAA